AUUGAACGCUGGCGGCAUGCCUUACACAUGCAAGUCGAACGGUAACGGGCCUUCGGGUGCCGACGAGUGGCGAACGGGUGAGUAAUACAUCGGAACGUGCCCGAUCGUGGGGGAUAACGAGGCGAAAGCUUUGCUAAUACCGCAUACGAUCUACGGAUGAAAGCAGGGGACCGCAAGGCCUUGCGCGGACGGAGCGGCCGAUGGCAGAUUAGGUAGUUGGUGGGAUAAAAGCUUACCAAGCCGACGAUCUGUAGCUGAUCUGAGAGGAUGAUCAGCCACACUGGGACUGGGACACGGCCCAGACUCCUACGGGAGGCAGCAGUGGGGAAUUUUGGACAAUGGGCGCAAGCCUGAUCCAGCCAUGCCGCGUGCAGGAUGAAGGCCUUCGGGUUGUAAACUGCUUUUGUACGGAACGAAAAGCCUUCUUUUAAUACAGGAGGGUCAUGACGGUACCGUAAGAAUAAGCACCGGCUAACUACGUG
rnacentral:rRNA from 1 species